rnacentral:rRNA from 1 species
UGGGGAAUAUUGCACAAUGGGCGAAAGCCUGCUGCAGCGACGCCGCGUGAGUGAAGAAGUAUUUCGGUAUGUAAAGCUCUAUCAGCAGGGAAGAAAAUGACGGUACCUGACUAAGAAGCCCCGGCUAACUACGUGCCAGCAGCCGCGGUAAUACGUAGGGGGCAAGCGUUAUCCGGAUUUACUGGGUGUAAAGGGAGCGUAGACGGCGAAGCAAGUCUGAAGUGAAAACCCAGGGCUCAACCCUGGGACUGCUUUGGAAACUGUUUUGCUAGAGUGUCGGAGAGGUAAGUGGAAUUCCUAGUGUAGCGGUGAAAUGCGUAGAUAUUAGGAGGAACACCAGUGGCGAAGGCGGCUUACUGGACGAUAACUGACGUUGAGGCUCGAAAGCGUGGGGAGCAAACAGG